UAUUUCGAUCGCUACUAUACAGUCAAUGGCGGCUACACGCAGUGAAACUCAAUUUGGCGUUGCGACAACAAGGAGGCCCCGUUGAUAAAAGUAUAAAUAUAAAUGUAUUAAAGCACAAAUUAAGGUAUGUAAGGCAAUUAGUCAUGUCAUAGUGUCUCACUUAGUUCGCAGACUGGUUAUUUGAAGACACGUGUGCACAGUGGUAAGUGGGGUGGUAGUGCUUGGGGGUCUCGGGAGAGAAUCGCAGAACAUAGCCAUACAGCUAAAAGUCAUAGAAGUUUUUUGUUUUUGUUUUACAUGUUUAUUUGUUAUUUGAUUUUGUUUUUUUUCAGCAGUAUGAUGUGACAUCAUUGUUGACGCCAGAUUGUUGAUGUCCUUCAACAAUCUGGCAUGUCCAACCAUGGUAUGAGUCAUAUGUGACUAAGUUGACCAAACAGGGCAAUUGCAACAAUGGAAUUAGUCAGUGGUAAACAACACAUUCAUUCCUGAGGAUAGUUUUCAGUUUAUUUAUGCUUAUUCAUGAUUGAAAUUUGCCAUGUUUUCUGGCUAACUGGAAGGAUUCUUCUUUUUCACAGAACUUUACCAUUUUCAUGGUAUACUUAAUUGCUUGUCGGUGGAUUGUCACUUGGCAUCAUUUGAAUGGUAUGGUCCAUAUCAGCAGUGUUAUGAUGCACUUUUUAAGUACACCAAUCCCUGAGAAAAUAUUCUAAUUGAAAUUAUGGAAAUUUCUGCCCUUUGUGCAGAACUGCGCAAGGAUGGGUUCGUAUAAACAAGCUUGAAAUAACAAACCAACAGUAUUUUUGGUUUGGCUUUUACAUACAACUCUAUGACAUGUUGAUGUUAGCUAAAUUGUUAUUAAUCAUAGGAUUAGGUAGUAUGCAAUGAAAUAUCUUCUCUUGGAAGUUUGUGUCAAUGGAAUUGUUUGAUAUGACUUGAGGCAGGAAGCUUUUCCUGCUUCUUACGAAAAGGGACAUUGGAUGCCUUAAUGUCUAAUACCAACCAAGUGUCAUUGCAAAGAUAGGUAAAAGAUAUAUCAAUAUAGAUUUUACUCUGAGUGAUGGUGACAUAUGGUAAAAGAUAGAGCAGUAUGAAUAUGUGCUGCAUCAUUUACGUCUAUUAUUUAUAUCUUCAAGGUAUCUUACUGACUUCUAUUAGUUUUAUUCGUGGAAAGAAUAUCUUGAGUGUGAGAAUUGGAUCACAAUUGACUAGAUGUUUUACUAUUUUAAACGAGUUCAUGACAAAGAAUUUUUUACUCAUUCUUGUUCUGUUUUUGUAAUGUAGGUAGAAUAAUCGCAAUGUCGUGGUAGUAUUUCGCGAGAGAUGUGCCAAUAGGGUUUCGCUGUUUUCAGUAAAUGUAUUAGCAAGAACAUUAUACUGAAGCAUACUCUAUUUCUUUAAUGUAGAUUUGCAAUCGUAAUGGAUUCGAAGAUGAUCUUGAUGGAGGUUCGGUAUUAAAAAGUAUAAGUACAUGUUCGUUGGAAGGGCAACCGAAGAGUUCCGGAUCCUUUUACUAUCGCACAUGUUAUGGUAUUUUUACAAAAUCAUUGAAGUGCUUAUCUGGACUCCCUUGUUUUCUAGGCCCCGUUUCACCUUGACUUGUAUAAUUUUCUUUAACCCUUUAGUGCGUGUAAAACUAAAGGCUAAAAGUAGAAGAAUGAUUCAAAAUUGUGGGAGAGAAUCAUCAAAUAACUAUACUCGUUUAGGUAAUCCAAGGAAAUAAGAAAGAGUAUUAACUCGGCGCAGUCUUGAUUCCAUCUUUUCAAAAGUUUUUACUGUGCAUGGAACUUUUUGGUCGAGACGUUAUGGGUGUCUUAAAGGCACUGAAGGUUGCGUUAGAUGUCAUAAUCCCCAACAAAAAGGAAAAGCUGAAAAUCCCAGGUGACGAUAAGAAUUAGUGGCAAUGUUACGGUGUAUAUAACUUCAGAAAAUGUGACGCUAGCUGAUGUAAACCACACCAGCUGUGCUGCUGCCGAGUCUGUCUCACUUUUGCCGCCUAUGUAUCUUUUCUAACAAAAUUUUUCUUAUCAAAUUUUCCUUUUGUUAACUGAUUCUCAUUUAGCAGGAAAAGGUUGUGAGAGUAGCAGAAGAAGAGGGAAUUGCAAUAAACCCAGUAUGAAAGAAGCCAAACAUUGCGAUAAUAUAGGAGCCCAGCCUGAGGAAACAAAAACCCUAUGUUUCAGAUAAAAGACAAAAGGAACACAUCAUUCCUCAGCUGCUUCUGAGGACCACUGUCACCGAAAGAAAAUCACCUCGCUUAUAGACUCGGAAGGUGAAAGCGAGAUCCAAAAAUUUGCCACAACGAAGCAAGUAAAAAGUAUUUUGGCAGAUUAUCGUGCACGCGAAGCUAAAUAGUCAAUUCAAUAAAAUUUCCUUAACACAUUUUAAAUUACCA